rfam:Felis catus isolate Cinnamon breed Abyssinian chromosome D2, whole genome shotgun sequence.
GCCUGGGUGGCUCAGUCGGUUAAGCGUCUGACUUCGGCUCAGGUCAGGAUCUCGCAGUAUGUGAGUUCGAGCCCCACGUUGGGCU